rnacentral:rRNA from 1 species
GCGGCGGACGGGUGAGUAACACGUGGGUAACCUGCCCAAGAGACUGGGAUAACACCUGGAAACAGAUGCUAAUACCGGAUAACAACACUAGACGCAUGUCUAGAGUUUGAAAGAUGGUUCUGCUAUCACUCUUGGAUGGACCUGCGGUGCAUUAGCUAGUUGGUAAGGUAACGGCUUACCAAGGCAAUGAUGCAUAGCCGAGUUGAGAGACUGAUCGGCCACAUUGGGACUGAGACACGGCCCAAACUCCUACGGGAGGCAGCAGUAGGGAAUCUUCCACAAUGGACGAAAGUCUGAUGGAGCAACGCCGCGUGAGUGAAGAAGGGUUUCGGCUCGUAAAGCUCUGUUGGUAGUGAAGAAAGAUAGAGGUAGUAACUGGCCUUUAUUUGACGGUAAUUACUUAGAAAGUCACGGCUAACUACGUGCCAGCAGCCGCGGUAAUACGUAGGUGGCAAGCGUUGUCCGGAUUUAUUGGGCGUAAAGCGAGUGCAGGCGGUUCAAUAAGUCUGAUGUGAAAGCCUUCGGCUCAACCGGAGAAUUGCAUCAGAAACUGUUGAACUUGAGUGCAGAAGAGGAGAGUGGAACUCCAUGUGUAGCGGUGGAAUGCGUAGAUAUAUGGAAGAACACCAGUGGCGAAGGCGGCUCUCUGGUCUGCAACUGACGCUGAGGCUCGAAAGCAUGGGUAGCGAACAGGAUUAGAUACCCUGGUAGUCCAUGCCGUAAACGAUGAGUGCUA